AGAGUUUGAUCCUGGCUCAGGACGAACGCUGGCGGCGUGCUUAACACAUGCAAGUCGAACGAUGAAGCCUUCGGGUGGAUUAGUGGCGAACGGGUGAGUAACACGUGGGCAAUCUGCCCUGCACUCUGGGACAAGCCCUGGAAACGGGGUCUAAUACCGGAUAAUACUGUGCCCCUCAUGGGGGACGGUUGAAAGCUCCGGCGGUGCAGGAUGAGCCCGCGGCCUAUCAGCUUGUUGGUGGGGUAAUGGCCUACCAAGGCGACGACGGGUAGCCGGCCUGAGAGGGCGACCGGCCACACUGGGACUGAGACACGGCCCAGACUCCUACGGGAGGCAGCAGUGGGGAAUAUUGCACAAUGGGCGAAAGCCUGAUGCAGCGACGCCGCGUGAGGGAUGACGGCCUUCGGGUUGUAAACCUCUUUCAGCAGGGAAGAAGCGAAA
rnacentral:rRNA from 1 species